UUAUACGACACGUGAAGAUAUAUCAGAUUUUUAAACCAAAAUAAAUGUUGCAAAUAUGUCAGAGGUUUGAGUUUAAUUUUUAAAAUGUUGGAAAAGACAAGGCAUUGUAUUAAAAUUUUGAGCUGCAAAAGAUCAUCUAAGAGCAAUCUCCAUAAUCAUAUGAAAGCAAUUCAUAAAAUAAUAAUCAACAAGAAAACAACUGAUCAACUAGUAAGAAACAACUGGAUCCUUCUUCUAUCCACAAAAACAAUCCAGUAUUUUUAAUUUCACAAAAAGGAGCAAUACUUUGUAUAGCAAUAUUUGCUAUUAUGGAUAGAUUGUCCAUUAAUAUAUUACAACAAACUCAUUCAUACAAGAGUCUUUGCAACAAUAGGGAUAUUCAUUACCAAAAAACAAUUCUUAAGUAAUGUAUCUCAUUCAUACAUUUUACGACAAUGCCUAAUGUGAAACUAUAAAUGAGUUGGAUUGUAUUAAGAAGAAUGGGGAAAAAAAUUUCUAUAACUUUAAAUGAAUGGAUUAACAAAAGAAAUUGCAAACAUUUGAAUAUCAAUGUACACCAUUUAGUAAAAGAUUUUAAUUUGAGCUUAGUUCCAAUAGCUAAUUCAUGCAAUGUUAAGAAAACAUUAAAAUUAAUUUCUGAGAGGCUAAAAAUUUUUAACUUGGAUCUAGCACCAACAUAGUUGCAGUGACAAAUGAUGGUGCCACUGUUAUGAAAAAAUUUGGCCAAUUAUCACCUAUAAUUAAUAAACUAUGCUAUUCACAUGCCAUACACUUAGCAGUUACUGAUGUGUUAUAUAAAAAUAAAGAAAUUGCUGAAACCAAUAUAUAAGGGAGAAAUCAGAAGAUGAAAUAAAGUGUGAAGAUGACUAUGGUGAGGAUCCUUUAAAUUUUCUUGAUCUAGAUAAUGACUGUGGAUUCUCUAUGUUGUCUGACAAUCAGUUUCCCAAAUUAGAAAAAUUUGAAAAUUUUAGAAAAUCUCCUGUAAGAAAUACCAUCUUUCAGAAUUAUGCAAAACAAAAAAAAGGAAAAGAAUUAAAAUAAAUAAAUACUUUCAAUCAUGG
rnacentral:lncRNA from 1 species